rnacentral:ncRNA from 1 species
GUGUUGUAUGAAAGGAGAGAAGGUUAGCACUCCCCUUGACAAGGAUGGAAGAGGCCCUCGGGCCUGACAACACGCAUACGGUUAAGGCAUUGCCACCUACUUCAUGGCAUCUAACCACUGUGUUUU